UACGUAGGGUGCAAGCGUUGUCCGGAAUUAUUGGGCGUAAAGAGCUCGUAGGCGGUUGGGUAAGUCGGGUGUGAAAACUCAGGGCUCAACUCUGAGACGCCACUCGAUACUGCUCUGACUCGAGUCCGGUAGGGGAGCGUGGAAUUCCCGGUGUAGCGGUGAAAUGCGCAGAUAUCGGGAGGAACACCCGUGGCGAAGGCGGCUCUCUGGGACGGUACUGACGCUGAGACGCGAAAGCGUGGGGAGCGAACAGG
rnacentral:rRNA from 1 species